ACACUAAAUACCAAUAACUUCUCAGAACCCUUUACCACCACCAGGCAAUUCUAUAAACCUAUAGAACUUAUUAUGUUAAAACUAGUAACAAGAAGUUAAACCUUCUCUUUAAUGCAAACGUAAAUCAGUAUGGAUAAACCACUGAUAAUUAACACAUCUGAAACUUAAGCAGCCACACCCUAAGAAAAACCUCCUUAACAUCGUGUUAACCUGACACUAGAGCAUUACAAGAAAGAUUAAAAGAAAAAGAAGGAACUCGGCAAACAUAAAUCUCGCCUGUUUAUCAAAAACAUCGCCUCUUGAACAAAUAUAAGAGGUCCCGCCUGCCCAGUGAAUCAAUUUAACGGCCGCGGUAUCCUAACCGUGCAAAGGUAGCGUAAUCACUUGUCCUUUAAAUGAGGGCUAGUAUGAACGGCCUCACGAAGGUUUUACUGUCUCCUUUUUCUAAUCAGUGAAACUAAUCUCCCCGUGAAGAAGCGGGGAUAUUAAUAUAAGACGAGAAGACCCUAUGGAACUUUAAACACAGCAGCAAAUUUUACCCUACAAUAAAUUUCUGAACAAUCACAUAAAGUAACCCUAUAACUGCUAGUUUUCGGUUGGGGCGACCGCGGAGCAAAAAAGAACCUCCAAGUAGAAUGGAAUUUAACCCUGAACAAAAAGCUUCAACUUUAUGUACCAACAAAUUGACUUCUAUUGACCCAAUAUAUUGACCAACGAACCAAGCUACCCUAGGGAUAACAGCGCAGUCCACUUCAAGAGCCCCUAUCGACAAGUGGGCUUACGACCUCGAUGUUGGAUCAGGGUAUCCUGAUGGUGUAGCCGCUAUCAAU
rnacentral:rRNA from 1 species